rnacentral:rRNA from 1 species
CCUACGGGAGGCUGCAGUAGGGAAUAUUGCUCAAUGGGGGAAACCCUGAAGCAGCAACGCCGCGUGGAGGAUGAAGGUUUUCGGAUUGUAAACUCCUUUUGUUAGAGAAGAUAAUGACGGUAUCUAACGAAUAAGCACCGGCUAACUCCGUGCCAGCAGCCGCGGUAAUACGGAGGGUGCAAGCGUUACUCGGAAUCACUGGGCGGAAAGAGCGCGUAGGCGGGAUAGCAAGUCAGAUGUGAAAUCCUAUGGCUUAACCAUAGAACUGCAUUUGAAACUGUUAUUCUAGAGUAUGGGAGAGGUAGGUGGAAUUCUUGGUGUAGGGAUAAAAUCCGUAGAGAUCAAGAGGAAUACUCAUUGCGAAGGCGACCUGCUAGAACAUAACUGACGCUGAUGCGCGAAAGCGUGGGGAGCAAACAGGAUUAGAUACCCGAGUAGUC